UACAGAGGUCUCAAGCGUUGUUCGGAAUCACUGGGCUUAAAGGGCGCGUAGGCGGGCCAGCAAGUCAGGGGUGAAAUCCCACGGCUCAACCGUGGAAGGGCCUUUGAUACUGUCGGCCUCGAGGGAGGUAGGGGCGUGCGGAACUUCCGGUGGAGCGGUGAAAUGCGUAGAUAUCGGAAGGAACAUCGGUGGCGAAAGCGGCGCGCUGGACCUCUUCUGACGCUGAGGUGCGAAAGCCAGGG
rnacentral:rRNA from 1 species